rnacentral:lncRNA from 1 species
CAGAAACGAGGCCAGGAAGAAGAGGUCGUGGUGAAGUGGCUGCAGGCAAACUCUUCAUCUUGGGUGUGUAAAUAUGGAAACCCCCGACAGAGAAUGACUUCCACAUGGGACCCGCCUGUCACUGUCUAUUCAUGUGGCACGUUUGUCCAAGGCUCCGCGUUCUCCAUCAUGUAGGGCUGGCUGCUCCAUCGGGGGAACCAGGGACCUUUCUUUAAAUAGUGUGAACACAGAUGUCAAGGACCUCACACACUGAGGAGAAAUCAUCUGGAGAACCAGAAUCAGCCACUUCAGUGAGCACAUCUGUGUGGUGCCAUAGGCUGUUGUGGGGCCCAUUCUCAAAUGGCCAGAAACAGGGGUAAUGUCAUAUUGUGCAAGUUCUCAAUCUUCAUCACAUGGAGUUCUUUUGGACCAGCGUAUGAUUUUGCUUCUUAAGUCAUUUCUCUCUCUACACGUGAGAGAAAACCUGAGAUGGAGAGCUGAGUGGACAUUCCUUCAGUGGACUACUAAUUUUUUAACUUGUGUUUUUGAUUCUCUUUCUCAAAGAGAAAAAUACUCCACAGUAUUCAUAAGUCAGAUAAGCAGAUGUGGACACGCCUGCAUAUUUUCCUUUUUAGAUACUAGUAGAAUGCUUGUUGAUGGUAUCAGGAGAUGAUUCCUCUGUUGGGAUCUUCACUACAGUAAAUAGAAGGCAAUCACUUUUGUUUCCAUGAAGCUAAGAUGUCAACUCCUCAAUAAACAGAUGCAGGGCUCCAGGCAUCACUCUGAGUUCAGCCUUUCUGCCCCGCCCACAGCACAGCACACCAGGAUUACAACCCGAGCUCCCACAGGAAAGCAGUGAGGACAGCAGGUUCGUCCUGCAGUAGAAAGGGAAGGUUGAGAGCCUGGGGGCCAGGAUGGCAUGGGGUUAAGUGAGAAUUGUGGCUAAUGGAAAUGUUGACCAUAAAUUGGAAAGAAGAAAAGGACAAGUUCAACGUCAACCUCCUGUUUAUCUAGAGCUUUAGAAACAUUUGAAAAGAACAUGCUUUAACUCCCACAAGUCCUCUUAGAAAUUCAGAUUCAAGCUGAAGACGCCAAAGAAAUUGGCUUGCCGGCGGCAGUGGUUCACCUAACGGAAAGGUCACCACCCUUGGGCUCUGGAAGUCAGCAACGAUAACUUUUUCAGUUUGGCCUGAAGUUUGAUUGUUUUUGGAGUUAGGUACGCCUUGUGCCUGUUUCCAUAUGUGUCUAUAAAGCUACAAUCUGUUUUCUUCUACUACAAAAUCCAGUGUGCUAGUGUGUGGACAACUGAGAAUUUCUGCAAGAUAGAGAGGAAGAAGCACACAGUAUGAAAGAAAAGGAUUCCUAUUUCAGAAUCCCUUUGGGAAGCCUUUCAGUGAAGGCACGGGGGUCUUGCGGUGUGCAGCCGAAUUUCUACGGCCUCACGUGCUCUGCUUCUGUUUUCUCUUUCUCCUCCUUCCUUUGGAGUUGCAUCGUGGGACUGUUCCAGACUCCCUUUCUAGUCAUGCUUCCUGGGAAAACCUUCAGAAAGUAUUCAUCUCAGAUCACCCUGGACAAUUUGCUGAGGGUCAGUCCUGAGCGUGGACACAGCUUGUGAGCAUGUGAUCUUUAAUGUGAUGAAUUAUGUCUUUAAUAGUUGCCAGUCCCUCUGGUCCUCCUCCCAGAAGUCACAUCCAUCUGCUGAACUGGCUCUGUGCUCCCCUGGUUCAACAAGUCAAGGAGUGAAGCGAUUCACACAGACAGCGGGUGAUGUCGCAGGAGGAGUGGUGGCCAGGGAGCGUGGUGACCUGGGACCAGCCCUAAUUCUGCCCUAACUGGGCAGCUCUAGAGAGGUCUUUUCCAUGUCCUAAGCCCCAGCUGUCUUCUCUGGAAAAUGCAGAAAGUUAGAUGAGAUGAUCUCUCAUUUCCAGCUUGUGAUUCUAUCCUGUUUUCUCUCUUGCUGGAAUUAUGCUCUGUGGCGGGAGAGGAAUUAGCCGUGUCACAUCUCAUAUCUUACAUUUUUUGGUACUUGCUAUUCUGCACAACUCAAACUCCCUGGCAGAGCAGAGAGUGUUUAAUGUUUACUUGUCAAAGGCAAUCCAAACAUGAAGCCAUCAUUUAAGUCAGUUGACUUAUUCUACGGCAUAUGCAUGGGUCAAAAUGGAACAUAACCUUGAAUCCCUUUGAAAAUGCUCUUCUCAAUUUAAAAUGAUGAAGGCUGUGUAUUAAAAUAGCAGGGUGGAAUUUUUCUCUCACGUGAAGUAAAAGAGAUCUUUCCUUGCUAAUUAUUUUUUGACAUGUUACUGACAAUGUGGACAGUAAAUAUAAUCAGAGCAUUCUACAUCAAACAUUUUGCUCCUCUUGGGCACCAUUAAGGAGGUAAAUAACCCCUGUCUAUAGAUGGUCCUGAGUUUGAACACAUACAGACUUUUGAAACACAUUGUUUCAGCCUAUGAAUUAUUUCCUCCAGGACUAAAAUGUAAGUGUACACAGCUCAGGUAGCAGAGAACCACGUUCUCUGAGGCCCUGGGACCUGCGAUGCUAGUGAGAAAAUUAAGCUUGUUCUUCCCUAAGAGGCAGAAACACUGGUGCCCCCCUUCAUCCUCUGCAGUCCUGGACUAAGCUGGGUGCAGCCCUGGCUGCCCUGGCUCUGGUAGUUCCCUGUCCCUGCCCUCUACAGUCAGUCCUCCUCCCUGCUGCAACUUGAC